UACGUAGGGGGCUAGCGUUGUCCGGAAUCAUUGGGCGUAAAGAGCGUGUAGGCGGCUCGGUAAGUCCGCUGUAAAAGUCAAAGGCUCAACCUUUGAAUGUCAGUGGAUACUGCCGGGCUAGAGUCCGGAAGAGGCGAGUGGAACUCCUGGUGUAGCGGUGGAAUGCGUAGAUACCAGGAAGAACACCAACGGCGAAGGCAGCUCGCUGGGACGGUACUGACGCUGAGACGCGAAAGCGUGGGGAGCGAACAGG
rnacentral:rRNA from 1 species